rnacentral:snRNA from 1 species
GGAUGUGAGGGCGAUCUGGCUGUGCAACAUCUGUCACCCCAUUGAUCACCAGGGCUGAUUCGGCUGAUCUGGCUGGCUAGGCGGGUGUCCCUUUCACCUCUCAGCGCUCCAUGUGCGUCCCUUCCGAAGCUCUACAAUAGUACAAAAAAAAAUUAAAUAGUUAGAAAUUAACCCAAGGAAGUUAAAUAUCUCUACAAUGAAAACUAUAGUACUCUGAAAAAGGAAAUCGAAGAGUAUAUCAGAAAAUGAAAAGAUAUCCCUAUUCCUGGAUAG